UUGUGCCCCGACAAUGGGAAAUCACACUUUGAAAGUCAUUUUCAAAAAGUGGGGAAGCCAAUCAAAAAUAAUGGCACUUAUUGUUACUCUUUGGCUGAGAGGCCUGCCCCUCCCUUGGCUUCAUUCACAUCCAUUAUACAGAGAAAUUAAAUAAAAGCCAGUAUGGGCACGGAGGAGGGCUGAGAGCGCCGCUGUCCACCCACAGUGGCGCUCCGGCCCGGGAGGAGCUCGGUGGAGCGAGAGGAGAGGGAAGCGCCGAGAACACCCUCGAUGACGGUGGACGCCACCUGAACCAAAAGAUGUGAGGCGACUUUGUUGAGUGUUUUUCUGCUUGUCCUGCAAACUGACGCCUGAGGCCUGGUGAGAGGAGGGAAGAAAGUCAACCGAGCAAGACUCCCCCCAUCUGAAUCCAGCACACCUAUAACUUCCUGUCUUGCACAUGUACUUCAACUAUUAAAAUAUAUAAACAACA